UCCCACCCCUGCUCUGCCCAGCCACCCCGCCAAGCCCAUGAUUCCAGGCAGGGUAAGGCCCUCCUCCCAGAGGAAGGGGCCAACAGUCCAGUGACCUUGGCGUGCGCUUUGCCUGGCACUCCCCUCACAUUGCUCCCUACAGCUUGCACUCUGCCUCUGACUCUCUUCCAAGAACAAUUGGACAAGCUCUAAUCUACAUCUUGCAAAAAAAAAAAAAAAAAAAACCCAGGAGAGGUAGGAGGGCCACAGCACCUGGGGUCCCAGAAGGCAGACUGACACCUAUUCCUACUGUGGGGGUAAGUAACGCAAAAACCGCCAUGCAAAGAGACAUGGAGGUCUUCGAAAUGGAAUGGUGGCGAAGGGGUGGCGGUGGAGGGAGUCAUUGGGAGGCAAAACAUGCGGGACAUCUGGGGUCACUGAGACCAGGGAACUCGGGAUUCCCUUCUGGGAAAUGACACAGCAUGGCAGCUGUCCUUCCUAUACAGUGAAGCUACAUUUGCCUCGUUAAACCAAAUCACAGCUACAAACCAGUGCCACAUGCCUGGAGGCUGAGUGGACACUCCUGGUCUUCCUCAAGGAGAUGUGUAGCACUCUGAGCUCUGAUCCAGUUGAUCUGUGUGAAGUCCUCAGACAAACACAUAACCAUUCAACUCCCACAGGAGGCUUCUUGGAGCACGGUCCAGCUAGUUCGUCUUGAAGGGACAGCCAUGCUCCAGGUGCAGUUUUGGGAGCCAUCUGAUCACUGUCCUUUCAUCCAAGCAUCUGUCUUCUGAAGGAGGCGAGGCCAUGUGCUGUCAAGCGCUGUGGACAGACUGCCUGGGAUCAAGUCCUAGCUCCUCCACCCCCAACUGGACCAGCCACUAUUGUACCUCUGACCGAUCUCAGAACACAGCUGGAUUACCAGGAGGAAAACUAAGUUGAGCUUGAGCUCCACCAUAAGCCUGAGUCUUUCCAAAGGCCUGGGGGACCAAAGGCAGAAGCAAGACCACACGUAGAGAAGGCACCGAGCAAGCGGAUCUGUACAGUUCUUCGGUUCUAAACAACUCGCAGAAUCCAGGUGGACUCAGAGCCUGUGUGGCCACUGGGCAGGGAAGGUGGUGGUUCCUAGGCCCAUCAAAACCCCAAGGAACACUGACUUCUGUCUCCUGCUAUAGCUUCAGAGACAAGGUCUCAUUCUGUUGGCUAGGCUGGAGUGCAGU